rnacentral:lncRNA from 1 species
CUGUUCUACAAUACUGAGGUUUGGUCCAUUACAUGUGCACAUUUUUCCAAAAUUAAAUGCAAUAUUCAACAAACAGAUAUACCCAACAGAUUUCAAGUGAGGCCUCACACUGAAAGCCUGAUUUCCCUUCAGGAAUUCCUAAGCCGUGCUGGUAUUUUCAUGGUUUGUUACAGAGAUGGAGGUGGUGGACGGCUACCCCAACUGUGCAUCUUUUGCUUUAAACUGAAGGCAAUGGAGAAUCAGCCGAUGCGGGAAGCGCUCCUGGCCCUUAGCUUUUCUGCCCAAAUGCAGGGCACUGACGUCCCACUGGGAAGUGUCUCCUGCACCCAGUAUCCGGAAGGGGCCAGCACAGAUGGAUGUUGCCUCAAGAUAAGUCAGCACGGACAAACCUUACCAACCGAAAAUUUAUCUUUCAUUAGUUUCUCCCAUAUAUGUCCAAGUCUUUCCCAAUUUAUUGCCCUUUGAGGUUCAAUCAAGCCCUCUUUCCUUUACCAAGGAGGGCAUAUAAGCUCCCAAGUCUAACCACUUCUGUGAACAUCACUGCUUUUCUGUAAACCUCCAUAUAAGGCAUUAAUAAAAUCUGUAUUCCUUUCCUUGUUAAUCAGACUUUUGUCAGUUAAUUUUGCAAGCUCGCAUUCAC